GGCACAGCGGGAAGCGAGGGGCGACCUUGAGCGGAUCCCUCAAAAGCCCGGUACUCAGUUCGGAUUGCAGGUCUGCAACUCGACUGCAUGAAGUUGGAAUCGCUAGUAAUCGUGGAUCAGCCAAGCCGCGGUGAAUACGUUCCCGGGCCUU
rnacentral:rRNA from 1 species